GGAGAAGGUGAUGAGAACAAUACAGGAACAUCAGAACCCUCUUCUGGGUGUGAUAUACCAAAGUCUUCAAUUGGAAUAUCUCUGAUUCUUU